rnacentral:tRNA from 1 species
UAAAAAUUAGUUAAUUUAUAACGUAAGCUUGUCAAGCUUAAAUUAUUAGAUACCUAAUAUUUUUAA